GGUUAAGCGACUAAGCGUACACGGUGGAUGCCCUGGCAGUCAGAGGCGAUGAAGGGCGUGCUAAUCUGCGAUAAGCGCCGGUAAGGUGAUAUGAACCGUUAUAACCGGCGAUACCCGAAUGGGGAAACCCAGUGUGAUUCGUCACACUAUCAUUAACUGAAUCCAUAGGUUAAUGAGGCGAACCGGGGGAACUGAAACAUCUAAGUACCCCGAGGAAAAGAAAUCAACCGAGAUUCCCCCAGUAGCGGCGAGCGAACGGGGAGGAGCCCAGAGCCUGAAUCAGCAUGUGUGUUAGUGGAAGCGUCUGGAAAGGCGCGCGAUACAGGGUGACAGCCCCGUACACAAAAGCGCAUGUGCUGUGAGCUCGAUGAGUAGGGCGGGACACGUGGUAUCCUGUCUGAAUAUGGGGGGACCAUCCUCCAAGGCUAAAUACUCCUGACUGACCGAUAGUGAACCAGUACCGUGAGGGAAAGGCGAAAAGAACCCCGGCGAGGGGAGUGAAAAAGAACCUGAAACCGUGUACGUACAAGCAGUGGGAGCCCCACCACCAAAGCAUUCUCUGGUGUUGAAGGCCCUGCAAAGCAGCAUCGCGGUGGCGGAGCGUCGUUUGCGACGCCCAACACACAAAACAAGCGGUGAAUGCUUUGGGGUGGGGUGACUGCGUACCUUUUGUAUAAUGGGUCAGCGACUUAUAUUCUGUAGCAAGGUUAACCGAAUAGGGGAGCCGGAGGGAAACCGAGUCUUAAUUGGGCGUUAAGUUGCAGGGUAUAGACCCGAAACCCGGUGAUCUAGCCAUGGGCAGGUUGAAGGUUGGGUAACACUAACUGGAGGACCGAACCGACUAAUGUUGAAAAAUUAGCGGAUGACCUGUGGCUGGGGGUGAAAGGCCAAUCAAACCGGGAGAUAGCUGGUUCUCCCCGAAAGCUAUUUAGGUAGCGCCUCGUGAAUUCAUCUCCGGGGGUAGAGCACUGUUUCGGCUAGGGGGCCAUCCCGGCUUACCAACCCGAUGCAAACUGCGAAUACCGGAGAAUGUUAUCACGGGAGACACACGGCGGGUGCUAACGUCCGUCGUGAAGAGGGAAACAACCCAGACCGCCAGCUAAGGUCCCAAAGUCAUGGUUAAGUGGGAAACGAUGUGGGAAGGCCCAGACAGCCAGGAUGUUGGCUUAGAAGCAGCCAUCAUUUAAAGAAAGCGUAAUAGCUCACUGGUCGAGUCGGCCUGCGCGGAAGAUGUAACGGGGCUAAACCAUGCACCGAAGCUGCGGCAGCGAACGUAUCACCCAAGACAACUUUACGGAGUUGACGAUUGACGGAGCGAAGCGACGUCAAAGCGUUCAUUAAAGUCGAGUUGGCUUAGGGAUACGUUCGUUGGGUAGGGGAGCGUUCUGUAAGCCUGUGAAGGUGUGUCGUGAGGCAUGCUGGAGGUAUCAGAAGUGCGAAUGCUGACAUAAGUAACGAUAAAGCGGGUGAAAAGCCCGCUCGCCGGAAGACCAAGGGUUCCUGUCCAACGUUAAUCGGGGCAGGGUGAGUCGACCCCUAAGGCGAGGCCGAAAGGCGUAGUCGAUGGGAAACGGGUUAAUAUUCCCGUACUUGGUGUUACUGCGAAGGGGGGACGGAGAAGGCUAUGUUGGCCGGGCGACGGUUGUCCCGGUUUAAGCGUGUAGGUGUGUGUUCCAGGUAAAUCCGGUUCACUUUAACACUGAGGCGUGACGACGAGGCACUACGGUGCUGAAGCAACAAAUGCCCUGCUUCCAGGAAAAGCCUCUAAGCAUCAGGUAACAUCAAAUCGUACCCCAAACCGACACAGGUGGUCAGGUAGAGAAUACCAAGGCGCUUGAGAGAACUCGGGUGAAGGAACUAGGCAAAAUGGUGCCGUAACUUCGGGAGAAGGCACGCUGACACGUAGGUGAAGUGAUUUACUCAUGGAGCUGAAGUCAGUCGAAGAUACCAGCUGGCUGCAACUGUUUAUUAAAAACACAGCACUGUGCAAACACGAAAGUGGACGUAUACGGUGUGACGCCUGCCCGGUGCCGGAAGGUUAAUUGAUGGGGUCAGCGCAAGCGAAGCUCCUGAUCGAAGCCCCGGUAAACGGCGGCCGUAACUAUAACGGUCCUAAGGUAGCGAAAUUCCUUGUCGGGUAAGUUCCGACCUGCACGAAUGGCGUAAUGAUGGCCAGGCUGUCUCCACCCGAGACUCAGUGAAAUUGAACUCGCUGUGAAGAUGCAGUGUACCCGCGGCAAGACGGAAAGACCCCGUGAACCUUUACUAUAGCUUGACACUGAACAUUGAGCCUUGAUGUGUAGGAUAGGUGGGAGGCUUUGAAGUGUGGACGCCAGUCUGCAUGGAGCCGACCUUGAAAUACCACCCUUUAAUGUUUGAUGUUCUAACGUGGACCCGUAAUCCGGGUUGCGGACAGUGUCUGGUGGGUAGUUUGACUGGGGCGGUCUCCUCCUAAAGAGUAACGGAGGAGCACGAAGGUUGGCUAAUCCUGGUCGGACAUCAGGAGGUUAGUGCAAUGGCAUAAGCCAGCUUGACUGCGAGCGUGACGGCGCGAGCAGGUGCGAAAGCAGGUCAUAGUGAUCCGGUGGUUCUGAAUGGAAGGGCCAUCGCUCAACGGAUAAAAGGUACUCCGGGGAUAACAGGCUGAUACCGCCCAAGAGUUCAUAUCGACGGCGGUGUUUGGCACCUCGAUGUCGGCUCAUCACAUCCUGGGGCUGAAGUAGGUCCCAAGGGUAUGGCUGUUCGCCAUUUAAAGUGGUACGCGAGCUGGGUUUAGAACGUCGUGAGACAGUUCGGUCCCUAUCUGCCGUGGGCGCUGGAGAACUGAGGGGGGCUGCUCCUAGUACGAGAGGACCGGAGUGGACGCAUCACUGGUGUUCGGGUUGUCAUGCCAAUGGCACUGCCCGGUAGCUAAAUGCGGAAGAGAUAAGUGCUGAAAGCAUCUAAGCACGAAACUUGCCCCGAGAUGAGUUCUCCCUGAGACUUUAGGUCUCCUGAAGGAACGUUGAAGACGACGACGUUGAUAGGCCGGGUGUGUAAGCGCAGCGAUGCGUUGAGCUAACCGGUACUAAUGAACCGUGAGGCUUAACCUU
rnacentral:rRNA from 1 species